CCUACGGGCGGCAGCAGUGGGGAAUAUUGGACAAUGGGGGCAACCCUGAUCCAGCCAUGCCGCGUGUGUGAAGAAGGCCCUCGGGUUGUAAAGCACUUUCAGUGAGGAAGAACGCCUGGUGGUUAAUACCCAUCAGGAAAGACAUCACUCACAGAAGAAGCACCGGCUAACUCCGUGCCAGCAGCCGCGGUAAUACGGAGGGUGCGAGCGUUAAUCGGAAUUACUGGGCGUAAAGCGCGCGUAGGUGGCUUGAUAAGCCGGUUGUGAAAGCCCCGGGCUCAACCUGGGAACGGCAUCCGGAACUGUCAAGCUAGAGUGCAGGAGAGGAAGGUAGAAUUCCCGGUGUAGCGGUGAAAUGCGUAGAGAACGGGAGGAAUACCAGUGGCGAAGGCGGCCUUCUGGACUGACACUGACACUGAGGUGCGAAAGCGUGGGUAGCAAACAGGAUUAGAUACCCUGGUAGUC
rnacentral:rRNA from 1 species